rnacentral:rRNA from 1 species
GACGAACGCUGGCGGCGUGCUUAACACAUGCAAGUCGAACGGAAAGGCCCUGCUUUUGUGGGGUGCUCGAGUGGCGAACGGGUGAGUAACACGUGAGUAACCUGCCCUUGACUUUGGGAUAACUUCAGGAAACUGGGGCUAAUACCGGAUAGGAGCUCCUGCUGCAUGGUGGGGGUUGGAAAGUUUCGGCGGUUGGGGAUGGACUCGCGGCUUAUCAGCUUGUUGGUGGGGUAGUGGCUUACCAAGGCUUUGACGGGUAGCCGGCCUGAGAGGGUGACCGGCCACAUUGGGACUGAGAUACGGCCCAGACUCCUACGGGAGGCAGCAGUGGGGAAUAUUGCACAAUGGGUGGAAGCCUGAUGCAGCAACGCCGCGUGCGGGAUGACGGCCUUCGGGUUGUAAACCGCCUUCGCCUGUGACGAAGCGUGAGUGACGGUAAUGGGUAAAGAAGCACCGGCUAACUACGUG